CCCCUGCAUUCUUUCUGCCUUGUAUGGACUGUGGCUGCUUGCCUGAUUCUCUCUUUUUGUGUUCUUGUUUGUCUCUCUGUGUACAUGUCUGUGUACGUGUCUCUCUUUCUGUCUGUAUCUCUCUGUUGGAGAGAAACUCGUUGGUAUUCUCUCUUGCUCGUCCGUUAUGAAAAGAAGCAAAGCGAAAAGGCAGUCUGCCUUUCCCUCUCCCCCUCCUA
rnacentral:ribozyme from 1 species